CAAAUGACCCAAAAAACCAGAUUAUAUAAGGAGUCCAUAUAAUUGAUAAAUUUAUGCACACCAAAGCACACAUGAAA